rnacentral:misc_RNA from 1 species
AUUACAAAACUACUCACACAUAACUAAGAAUAUUAAAAAUAAAUAAAUUAACAAAAGAAGAGAGAAAAGCAUACUGCCUCUUGUGAAUGAAAUUUUAUCUACUUGAAUAUGAUGUUUAUGUUGAUGCCACAUACUCCAAAGGAUGUAGAAGCACUUCACAAGCCAAAAGGAAGAAGAAGAAAUCACACUAGCAGCUAGAUCAAGCAUUCGAUACCUUUGAAUGUACAAAGAGGGAAUUUUUCCACUCUGAGUAUAAGAGAAUUGA